AUAUAAACGUAUCUGUCAAGACCUACCCAAAACUGAGCAAAUAUAAAGAUCUUGAAAUAGAAAUCAGCAAAAUGUGGAACCUGAAGACUAAGACAAUACUUGUUGUCAUAGGUGCCCUAGGAAUGACAGCAAACGGGGCUGAUUACUACCUGCCUCAGAUACCAGUAAAUCCAAAAUGGCUGAUGUU